rnacentral:rRNA from 1 species
UCAGAACGAACGCUGGCAGGCAUGCCUAAACACAUGCAAUGUCGAACGAAGCCUUCGGGCUUAUGUGGCGCACGGGUGCGUAACGCGUGGGAAUCUGCCCUUGGGUUACGGAAUAACAGUUAGAAAUGACUGCUAAUACCGGAUAAUGACUUCGGUCCAAAGAUUUAUCGCCCAAGGAUGAGCCCGCGUAGGAUUAGCUUGUUGGUGAGGUAAAAGCUCACCAAGGCGACGAUCCUUAGNCUGGUCUGAGAGGAUGAUCAGCCACACUGGUGACUGAGACACGGCCCAGACUCCUACGCGGAGGCAGCAGUGGGGAAUAUUGGACAAUGGGGGAAACCCUGAUCCAGCAAUGCCGCGUGAGUGAUGAAGGCCUUAGGGUUGUAAAGCUCUUUUACCCGGAUGAUUAUGACAGAUACCGGGAGAAUAAGCUCCGGCUAACUCCGUGCCAGCAGCCGCGGUAAUACGGAGGGAGCUAGCUGUUGUUCGGAAUUACUGGGCGUUAANGUGCAAAGUAGCGUUUGUAUUAAGGUAAACCCGGGGCUCAACUCCCGGAACUGCCUUUAACGACUGCAUCGCUCGAAUCCCGGGAGAGGUGAGCUGGAAUUCCUAGUGUGAAGGUUGGAAAUUUGUAGAAUAUUUCGGAAGAACAACAAAGUUGGCGAAAGGCGGCUUCAUGGACCGGUUAUUGAACGUUGAGGUGCGAAAGCCGUGGGGGAGCAAACAGGAUUAGAUACCCUUGGUAGUCCACGCCCGUAAAACGAUGAGAACUAGCUGUCGGGGGCCUUAGGCUUUCGGUGGCGCAGCUAACGCAUUUAAGUUCUCCGCCUGGGGAGUACGGCCGCAAGGUUAAAACUCAAAGAAAUUGACGGGGGCCUGCACAAGCGGUGGAGCAUGUGGUUUAAUUCGAAGCAACGCGCAGAACCUUACCAGCGUUUGACAUCCCGGUCGCGGGUUCCAGAGAUGGAUCCCUUCAGUUCGACUGGACCGGAGACAGGUGCUGCAUGGCUGUCGUCAGCUCGUGUCGUGAGAUGUUGGGUUAAGUCCCGCAACGAGCGCAACCCUCGUCUUUAGUUGCCAUCAUUUAGUUGGGCACUCUAAAGAAACCGCCGGUGAUAAGCCGGAGGAAGGUGGGGAUGACGUCAAGUCCUCAUGGCCCUUACGCGCUGGGCUACACACGUGCUACAAUGGCGGUGACAGUGGGCUGCAAUCCCGCGAGGGUGAGCAAAUCUCCAAAAAGCCGUCUCAGUUCGGAUCGGACUCUGCAACUCGAGUCCGUGAAGGCGGAAUCGCUAGUAAUCGCGGAUCAGCAUGCCGCGGUGAAUACGUUCCCAGGCCUUGUACACACCGUCCGUCACACCAUGGGAGUUGGAUUGACCCGAAGGUGGUGAGCUAACCCGCAAGGGAGGCAGCCAACCACGGUCGGUUCAGCGACUGGGGUGAAGUCGUACAAGGUAGCCGUAGGGGAACCUGCGGCUGGAUCACCUCCUU